rnacentral:rRNA from 1 species
CACCGCGGUCAUACGAUUAACCCAAAUUAAUAAACCCUCCGGCGUAAAGCGUGUCAAAGACUAAUACCAAAAUAAAGUUAAAACCCAGUUAAGCCGUAAAAAGCUACAACCAAAGUAAAAUAGACUACGAAAGUGACUUUAAUACCUCUGACUACACGAUAGCUAAGACC